rnacentral:rRNA from 1 species
GCAGUGAGACAGUGGGGGAUAAGCUUCAUUGUCGAGAGGGAAACAGCCCAGACCAUCAACUAAGGCCCCUAAGCGUGUGCUAAGUGGGAAAGGAUGUGGAGUUGCUGAGACAACCAGGAGGUUGGCUUAGAAGCAGCCAUCCUUGAAAGAGUGCGUAAUAGCUCACUGGUCAAGUGAUUCUGCGCCGAUAAUGUAGCGGGGCUCAAGUACACCGCCGAAGUUGUGGCAAUCAGUCUUUGUGGCUGGUUGGGUAGGGGAGCGUCCUGCACGAGGUGAAGCUGCCACGGGAGUGUGUGGUGGAUUGUGUGGGAGUGAGAAUGCAGGCAUGAGUAGCGAAUCACGGGUGAGAAACCCGUGCGCCGGAUGAUCAAGGGUUCCAGGGUCAAGUUAAUCUGCCCUGGGUUAGUCGGGGCCUAAGGCGAGGCCGACAGGCGUAGUCGAUGGAGAACGGGUUGAUAUUCCCGUACCAGUGAAGGACCGUCCAUACUGAUAUUGUGAUGCUAACCAUGCCGAUCACGGUGUCAUGAAGUUUUUCUUUGUGGUGUUGUGGGGUGUGUGGGACCCAAGCUUUGGAGGUAAGCGUGUUAACAGGUGUGACGCAGGAAGGUAGCCAAGCCACGCGGUGGUUGUCGUGGUCUAAGCGUGUAGGAUGACUGGUUGUUAAAUGCGCCGGUUGUGUGUCUGAGACGUGAUGGGACCCCUUGUUUGUGGGGGAUUUGGUGAUCCUAUGCUGCCGAGAAAAGCAUCGGCGUGAGGUUUUAGCUGCCCGUACCCGAAACCGACACAGGUGAUCAGGUAGAGAAUACUAAGGCGAUCGAGAGAAUCAUGGUUAAGGAACUCGGCAAAAUGCCCCCGUAACUUCGGGAGAAGGGGGGCCCUGAGCGUGAUCUGCCCGUGCGGUGGGGAGCGUGUAGGGGUCGCAGAGACCAGGGGGAAGCGACUGUUUAUCAAAAACACAGGUCCGUGCGAAGUCGUAAGACGAGGUAUACGGACUGACUCCUGCCCGGUGCUGGAAGGUUAAGAGGAUUGGUUAGCCCUGUGUGGGCGAAGCUGAGAAUUUAAGCCCCAGUAAACGGCGGUGGUAACUAUAACCAUCCUAAGGUAGCGAAAUUCCUUGUCGGGUAAGUUCCGACCUGCA